UACGGAGGGGCUAGCGUUGUUCGGAAUUACUGGGCGUAAAGCGCACGUAGGCGGCUUUGUAAGUUAGAGGUGAAAGCCCGGGGCUCAACUCCGGAACUGCCUUUAAGACUGCAUCGCUAGAAUUGUGGAGAGGUAAGUGGAAUUCCGAGUGUAGAGGUGAAAUUCGUAGAUAUUCGGAAGAACACCAGUGGCGAAGGCGACUUACUGGACACAUAUUGACGCUGAGGUGCGAAAGCGUGGGGAGCAAACAGG
rnacentral:rRNA from 1 species